rnacentral:rRNA from 1 species
AGCAGUCGCCGCGGUAAUACCGAGGAUGCAACCGUUAUCUGGAAUGAUUAGGCGUAAAGCGUCUGUAAGUGGCUUUUCCAGUCCGCCGUCAAAUCCCAGGGCUCAACCUUGGACAGGCGGUGGAAACUACCAAGCUGGAGGACGGUAGGGGCAGAGGGAAUUUCCGGUGGAGCGAUGAAAUGCGUUGAGAUCGGAAAGAACACCAACAGCGAAAGCACUCUGUUGGGCCGACACUGACACUGAGAGACGAAAGUUAGGGGAGCAAAUGGGAUUAGAUACCCCGUAGUCCCUGUCUCUUAUACA